GGAGUCAGCCAAGGCAAUCGCCGCUUGCAUCAGCAAGGGGAGGAAAGUCCGGGCUCCAUAGGGCAGAGUGCCAGGUAACGCCUGGGCGGCGUGAGCCGACGACUAGUGCAACAGAGAGCAUACCGCCGAUGGCCCGCUUGCGGGAUCAGGUAAGGGUGAAAGGGUGCGGUAAGAGCGCACCGCGUGGCUGGUAACAGUUCAUGGCACGGUAAACUCCACUCGGAGCAAGACCAAAUAGGGAUCCUUGGGGUGGCCCGCCUCGGAUCCGGGUAGGUUGCUUGAGGCUACAGGCGACUGUAGUCCUAGACGAAUGAUUGUCCACGACAGAACCCGGCUUAUUGGCUGACUCCCAUU
rnacentral:RNase_P_RNA from 2 species